UGGCGACCGGCGCAUGGGUGAGUAACACGUAUCCAACCUGCCGAUGACUCGGGGAUAGCCUUUCGAAAGAAAGAUUAAUACCCGAUGGCAUAGUUCUUCCGCAUGGUAGAACUAUUAAAGAAUUUCGGUCAUCGAUGGGGAUGCGUUCCAUUAGGUUGUUGGCGGGGUAACGGCCCACCAAGCCUUCGAUGGAUAGGGGUUCUGAGAGGAAGGUCCCCCACAUUGGAACUGAGACACGGUCCAA
rnacentral:rRNA from 1 species